AGCAGCCGCGGUAAUUCCAGCUCCAAGAGCAUAUAUUAAAGUUGUUGCAGUUAAAAAGCUCGUAGUUGGACUUCUGGUUUAAUGCACCUGGCCCGCGGCCCACAAGGCCUGUGAGUGCCGGCGCGCGUUUACCAUCCUUCCAGCAACGCUACCCUUAACUGGGCGGUGGAACUGGAUCUUUUACUUUGAAAAAAU
rnacentral:rRNA from 1 species